rnacentral:rRNA from 1 species
UACGAAGGGGGCUAGCGUUGUUCAGAAUUACUGGGCGUAAAGGGCGCGUAGGCGGUCUUUCAAGUCAGAUGUGAAAGCCCUGGGCUUAACCUAGGAGGUGCAUUUGAUACUGAUCGACUUGAGAUCGAGAGAGGAGAGUGGAAUUGCGAGUGUAGAGGUGAAAUUCGUAGAUAUUCGCAAGAACACCAGUGGCGAAGGCGACUCUCUGGCUCGAUACUGACGCUAAGGCGCGAAAGCGUGGGGAGCAAACAGG